rnacentral:rRNA from 1 species
AGAGUUUGAUCAUGGCUCAGAUUGAACGCUGGCGGCAUGCCUUACACAUGCAAGUCGAACGGCAGCACGGGAGCAAUCCUGGUGGCGAGUGGCGAACGGGUGAGUAAUAUAUCGGAACGUGCCCAGUAGUGGGGGAUAGCCCGGCGAAAGCCGGAUUAAUACCGCAUACGACCUGUGGGUGAAAGCGGGGGAUCGCAAGACCUCGCGCUAUUGGAGCGGCCGAUAUCAGAUUAGCUUGUUGGUGGGGUAAAAGCCCACCAAGGCGACGAUCUGUAGCUGGUCUGAGAGGACGACCAGCCACACUGGGACUGAGACACGGCCCAGACUCCUACGGGAGGCAGCAGUGGGGAAUUUUGGACAAUGGGCGCAAGCCUGAUCCAGCCAUGCCGCGUGUGGGAAGAAGGCCUUCGGGUUGUAAACCACUUUUGUCAGGGAAGAAACGGCUCUUACUAAUAUUAGGAGCGAAUGACGGUACCUGAAGAAUAAGCACGGCUACUACGUGCCAGCAGCCGCGGUA